rnacentral:tRNA from 1 species
AAGAGCGUGCAUCCGACGUUAGGCGUCCACACUUAUCGGUUUGUUUGAUGUUACAGCCAAGGGUCUGUAGCUCAGGUGGUUAGAGCACCGUCUUGAUAAGGCGGGGGUCGUAGGUUCAAGUCCUACCAGACCCACCAAGUUACGGACGGUGGAAGAUGUUCUCUGCCGUGACUGGGGGAUUAGCUCAGCUGGGAGAGCACCUGCUUUGCAAGCAGGGGGUCGUCGGUUCGAUCCCGUCAUCCUCCACCAUUAUCUUUUGGUUACCAAACGCAAGCAUCGACGCUGUGUCGAUGGUGUUUGCGUUUGGCCUAGCCAAGACGAGCGUAAAAGUUCGGCUGUUCUUUAACAAUAUGGAAUGUAGUAAAGGUGUCGCGGUGCGUUGAUGAGACGCACACUCAAACGCGACACUGGGUUGUGAUUGUAUCAACCAGUAUUACCAGAGCAAUCGAUGAGAUUGUCUUGGAAUACGGCACAACGCGAGAACUCAGCCUAUAGCGAGACAUACUCGUUAUAG